AUACUUACCUGGCAGGGGAGACACCAUGAUCAAGAAGGCGGUUCACCCAGGGCGAGGCUUGUCCAUUGCACUACGGCCAUGCUGACCCCUGCGAAUUCAUGUUUCGAAGAAACAUUUCAUUUUUCUUAUUUUUCCGCUUACAGCGCCACCUAGUGGCCUGUC